rnacentral:misc_RNA from 1 species
UCAACCCUCAAGCUCGGCUUGCUGUUGGGUCCCCGUCGUUGCUCCCGCGGCGGACCCGAAAGGUAAUGGCAGAGUCCGCGAGACCCUAGAUGCAGCGAGCUUCUAGCACGCGUCUGGACGGUCUUCGGGCUUGGUCUUAACCAGUUGUCAACUUCU